GGCAAUAAAACAGAUCUUUGAGCUCCAGCUCAAAAUUAAGAUUUAAAAAAAAAAAAAGAAAAAGAAAACACAGCUUAAAUGAUUCAAAGCUUUAUGAUUAUGCCACUGCACUCCAGUCUGGGUGACAGUGAAACCCUGUCUCAAAAAAAAAAAUUAAUAGACCCUCAGUCACCUACUGUACAGAGCAAAGUACUUGUAUUAUCACUGGCGGCUCACCAUACCAUGUUUGAGUUCCAGCAUCGGAGAUGGAGGAAGAGAGAGUGGAGGGCAGGUGGCUUCCUUUUAAGGGUUAAAUGUUGCCUACACCACUUCUGUUCCAUUCGCAUGCUAGCUGCAAGUGGGUCUGCCAGACGGGGCAGCAGCAGCAGUUCCCAGAGGAGCACCCAUUGUUGCAGCUAGGACCCACCAAGGAUGGGACUCCUGGAGUCAGGUGCACCCCAGGUAACCCAGGACCACGCUGU
rnacentral:lncRNA from 1 species